rnacentral:rRNA from 1 species
CAGCCGCCACGGUAAUACGUAGGUGGCAAGCGUUGUCCGGAAUUAUUGGGCGUAAAGGGCUCGCAGGCGGUUUCUUAAGUCUGAUGUGAAAGCCCCCGGCUCAACCGGGGAGGGUCAUUGGAAACUGGGAAACUUGAGUGCAGAAGAGGAGAGUGGAAUUCCACGUGUAGCGGUGAAAUGCGUAGAGAUGUGGAGGAACACCAGUGGCGAAGGCUACUCUCUGGUCUGUAACUGACGCUGAGGAGCGAAAGCGUGGGGAGCGGACAGGAUUAGAUACCCCAGUAGUCCCUGUCUCUUAUAC